AGAGUCCGGGCGCCUCCCCGUUCGGGGGACAGGGUGACAGGUGGUGCGUGGUUGUCGUCAGCUCGUGUCGUGAGAUGUUGGGUUAAGUCCCGCAACGAGCGCAACCCUUGUCACUAGUUGCCAUCAUUUGGUUGGGCACUCUAGUGAGACUGCCGGUGACAAACCGGAGGAAGGUGGGGAUGACGUCAAGUCCUCAUGGCCCUUAUGGGUAGGGCUUCACACGUCAUACAAUGGUCGGUACAGAGGGUUGCCAAGCCGCGAGGUGGAGCCAAUCCCUUAAAGCCGAUCGUAGUCCGGAUCGUAGUCUGCAACUCGACUACGUGAAGUCGGAAUCGCUAGUAAUCGCAGAUCAGCAUGCUGCGGUGAAUACGUUCCCGGGUCUU
rnacentral:rRNA from 1 species